GAUGAAUGCUGGCGGCGUGCCUAACACAUGCAAGUCGAGCGGCAGCGCGGUCUUCGGACCGGCGGCGAGCGGCGGACGGCUGAGUAACGCGUGGGAACAUACCCCAAAGUGAGGGAUAACCGCCCGAAAGGGUGGCUAAUACCGUAUAUGGUCUUCGGAUUAAAGGAUUUAUCCGCUUUGGGAUGGCCUGCGUACGAUUAGAUAGUUGGUGGGGUAAAGGCCUACCAAGUCUACGAUCGUUAACUGGUCUGAGAGGAUGAUCAGUCAGACUGGAACUGAGACACGGUCCAGACUCCUACGGGAGGCAGCAGUGAGGAAUCUUCCACAAUGGGCGAAAGCCUGAUGGAGCAACGCCGCGUGCAGGAUGAAGGCCUUCGGGUCGUAAACUGCUUUUAUGAGUGAAGAAUAUGACGGUAACUCAUGAAUAAGCACCGGCUAACUACGUGCCAGCCGCCGCAGUAA
rnacentral:rRNA from 1 species